rnacentral:rRNA from 1 species
AUUGAACGCUGGCGGCAGGCCUAACACAUGCAAGUCGAGCGGAUGAAGGGAGCUUGCUCCUGGAUUCAGCGGCGGACGGGUGAGUAAUGCCUAGGAAUCUGCCUGGUAGUGGGGGAUAACGUCCGGAAACGGGCGCUAAUACCGCAUACGUCCUGAGGGAGAAAGUGGGGGAUCUUCGGACCUCACGCUAUCAGAUGAGCCUAGGUCGGAUUAGCUAGUUGGUGGGGUAAAGGCCUACCAAGGCGACGAUCCGUAACUGGUCUGAGAGGAUGAUCAGUCACACUGGAACUGAGACACGGUCCAGACUCCUACGGGAGGCAGCAGUGGGGAAUAUUGGACAAUGGGCGAAAGCCUGAUCCAGCCAUGCCGCGUGUGUGAAGAAGGUCUUCGGAUUGUAAAGCACUUUAAGUUGGGAAGAAGAGCAGUAAGUUAAUACCUUGCUGUUUUGACGUUACCAACAGAAUAAGCACCGGCUAACUUCGUG